rnacentral:rRNA from 1 species
UACGGAGGGUGCGAGCGUUGUCCGGAAUCACUGGGCGUAAAGGGCGCGUAGGUGGCGCGGGCAGUCAACGGUGAAAGUUCAGGGCUCAACCCUGAAUCGGCCGUCGAUACUCCCGGGCUUGAGCACUGUAGAGGCAGAUGGAAUUCCGGGUGUAGCGGUGGAAUGCGUAGAGAUCCGGAAGAACACCGGUGGCGAAGGCGGUCUGCUGGGCAGUAGCUGACACUGAGGCGCGACAGCGUGGGGAGCAAACAGG